UCAUGCCCAGCUCAAAGGAGCAAGCACUGCAGAGGACAGUGCAGGGCCGGGUGCCGUCCUUGUGCAGGGCCAGCCGAGAGGUUGGCUUCACGAAGCAGC
rnacentral:SRP_RNA from 14 species